CGAACAGCCACACAGAUGAUUUGUUCAUAGUGAUCAAAUGUUUGUGUACACAUAAGCUCGACCCCUCCAUCAAAUCGACAUUACUUGUACAGGCACACCGUGUGCCACAUGUCAUGUGACGAAAUCAUCGCAGAGCAACGUGUAGAGAAAGAGUGU